rnacentral:tRNA from 1 species
ACUCUAAUAGUUUACAAAAACAUUGGUCUUGUAACCAAAGAACGAAGACCCACCCUUCUUAGAGUU